CCAUUAGUGACUUUGAGAAUAGAAGUAUGGUUACUCUUGGUCUUCUUUGUACCAGCAGUAAAACCAUCGCCAAAGUGAGCCAUCUGUUUGACUGUGCAGGAUGUACAAGCAGGCAGACAGAAUGGGAUUUUUAAUUCGAUUACUUGUGUAGAGACAGUGACACCCUCUGCAUGUUAAGAACCAUUGCAACAUAAGGAAUUUCGUAGGUGGCCUUUUGCAAGGCAAAAUGUCUCUCCCUUUUCACUAAACCCUCAUUUUUAAAUGGCACAAUUGGUAAAGGUAAACCAUUAAAGGUCAAAGUACAGCCUUCAACAGAGCCUAACCUCACACCAAACAGUCAGCAGGCAAUAAAGGGCCUCAAAAAUUUCCAGUCUAACCUCUUUCAGACAGGAAAACCAAUGGUCUAAGAUACAUGUAUAUAAAAAUUGAGAAACAAUUAUUAAACACAUAAUAAGCCCACUGAACAUCAGGUUCUUGACAUAGGGAAGGUGC
rnacentral:lncRNA from 1 species